CCACUGACUGCUAUCAUGGUACUACCGCGAGUCGGUCUCAGCGGACUGCUCUACACGUAUUAACUUAACCUAUGGAUGGGAUCCUCGGGAAACUGAAAACGAAAAAAANUCACAAUACCCAAUGGGCCACAGUGCCUGGAAUGGCCUGUGGUUGAAAUGAUUUAUCGCCGUAGGAUAGGACUGCGGCCUAUCAGCUUGUUNGGUGAGGUAAUGGCCCACCAAGGCUAUAACAGGUACGGGCUCUGAGAGGAGGGGCCCGGAGAUGGGUACUGAGACACGGACCCAGGCCCUAUGGGGCGCAGCAGGCGAGAAACCUUUGCAAUGUGCGAAAGCACGACAAGGUUAAUCCGAGUGUCUCCUGCUAAAGGAGUCUUUUGUCAGUUGUAGAAGUCCACUGGGAUGAANUUAAGGGGUGGGCAAGUUCUGGUGUUCAGCACGACCGGGCGAGUAAAAACAAGGCACCCUUCGAGUGGUCAGGAGGUUUAUUGGGCCUAAAGCAUCCGUAGCCCCGAGUUGCAAUUAAGUUUUCGGUUAAAUCUAUGCGCUUAAACCGUAAUUAGGCCGGCACCGAACAAUACUGUGCAGACCUAGGGAGUUGGGGACGAGGUACACGGUACUCGAUAGG
rnacentral:rRNA from 1 species